GCCUGGCUGGCUCAGUCCGUACAGCAUGAGAUUGUCAAUCUCAGGGUUUUGAGUUCAAGACCCACGCUGGGUG
rnacentral:tRNA from 1 species